rnacentral:tRNA from 1 species
GCGGGCGUGGCGAAACCGGUAGACGCAACGGACUUAAAAUCCGUCGGGCUUAUGCCCUUGGGGGUUCAAGUCCCCCCGCCCGCACCA